ACUUGCCUCAGAAAUACGCUCAAACAGAAGAAACGUCUAAAUAGCCGAACUGCUUCCUGCGCCUGUAGCUCCAAAACCUGUGGCAAAAUCGCCUUUAGAAACUAUGAAGAAAACAAAAGUCUGACAGCUCAAGUACCUGAAAGAUAAUACGCCUAAUCCUAACUUGACCGUGUAAGCAUAUGUAUUUAUGAAUCAUCCAGGUCUGGGUUGCGUCCAGGCAGACUAUAGGUAUUGUGUCUCAAAUUAUUUUAACUACCAAGACCAACAGUUACGAACGUGUGACCUUUUUUUCCUUUGAAUACCAAAACAACAUGUGGUCCAUCAGGCUAUUUUUUUCAGUUAGAAAGAAUGGACAGAGAAUCAGGGUGUUAGCUUCAGGAACAACACUUCAAUUGAAUCGCUGAUGCCACAAAUCAGGCAAGGCAAGGCCAGAUCUCUCGAUUAGAGCAACAAUGCAGAAUAGCCUGAUACUAAACUAGUUCGACCGCGUACCUGACGACUCCCACCGGGAAGGAAAACGAAUCCAGGAUUCAGCAGCGGACGGGCAUGUCCCAGGGAGCAGCAGCACACCACCGGCUGACAGCCAAACUUGUAUGCCUGACGGCGGUACUCGGCGGCGGCGGCUGCAGCGACUGAACCCUAGGCGGUGACGGGGUUAGCGUAUAGGUUGGGGAGUGUUUAUUUUAGGCUAAGGACUGGGCCAAGUCUAUCGCUCUUUUAUUUUCUCAUUCAUGUAUCCUACCCGAAAACCAUGUGCAGCCCUUAUAUUUAGUUCCGAAAUUAUUUAAUGGCUAGUACUUAACAAUUAGCUACAAGAUCUAUU